rnacentral:rRNA from 1 species
CCUACGGGAGGCAGCAGUGGGGAAUAUUGCGCAAUGGGCGAAAGCCUGACGCAGCGACGCCGCGUGAGGGAUGAAGGUCUUCGGAUCGUAAACCUCUGUCAGCAGGGAAGAACGGUCACUGUGCUAAUCAGCAGUGAAUUGACGGUACCUGCAAAGGAAGCACCGGCUAACUCCGUGCCAGCAGCCGCGGUAAUACGUAGGGGGUAAGCGUUAACCGGAAUUACUUGGGGUAAAGCGAGCGUAGACGGUCCGGCAAGCCAAAUGUGAAAGCCCGGGGCUCAACCUCGGGACUGCAUUUGGAACUGUAAGGCUAGAGGGUCGGAGAGGCAAGUGGAAUUCCAAGUGUAGCAGUGAAAUGCGUAGAUAUUAGGAGGAACACCAGUGGCGAAGGCGACCUGCUGGAAGAUGACUGACGUUGAGGAUCGAAAGCGUGGGGAGCAAACAGGAUUAGAUACCCCUGUAGUC